rnacentral:rRNA from 1 species
GAUUGAACGCUGGCGGCAGGCCUAACACAUGCAAGUCGAGCGGCAGCGGGAAAGUAGCUUGCUACUUUUGCCGGCGAGCGGCGGACGGGUGAGUAAUGCCUGGGGAUCUGCCCAGUCGAGGGGGAUAACAGUUGGAAACGACUGCUAAUACCGCAUACGCCCUACGGGGGAAAGGAGGGGACCUUCGGGCCUUUCGCGAUUGGAUGAACCCAGGUGGGAUUAGCUAGUUGGUGGGGUAAUGGCUCACCAAGGCGACGAUCCCUAGCUGGUCUGAGAGGAUGAUCAGCCACACUGGAACUGAGACACGGUCCAGACUCCUACGGGAGGCAGCAGUGGGGAAUAUUGCACAAUGGGGGAAACCCUGAUGCAGCCAUGCCGCGUGUGUGAAGAAGGCCUUCGGGUUGUAAAGCACUUUCAGCGAGGAGGAAAGGUUGGCGCCUAAUACGUGUCAACUGUGACGUUACUCGCAGAAGAAGCACCGGCUAACUCC